rnacentral:misc_RNA from 1 species
CUCUUAGCCCAAGCAUCUUCAGCCUUGCUCAAGGGAUGCUUUGAGUCUAUAACUGUCUUAAGCUUCCCUUCCUUCACUUGUUUAACAAGAUAGUCUAGGUUCUCAGCUUUGGGAACCAUAAGCAGUGGCACCAGCUGCUUCUUGGAGAAGGUAAGUUUCUUUAGAGCAAAAGUCAGCAUGGCAUUAACGCCAGGAGUUAUAUCUAUAACCUUCUUCCCAUUUUCACUCAAAUUAGGCUCAAAAGUACUCCAAGGAAUCCCAGUGGCACAAUGGAUCACUGCAUCAUACUUCCGUCCAGAUGGGCUAUUCAGAGCUGCCCCUUCUGGAGUCUUGUAAUCAAGGACCUCAUCAGCCCCUAAACUCUUUACAAACUCAAUGUUACGGGCUCCGCAAGUGGCUGUCACAUGUAUGUUUCCAAGCUUUGCUAGCUGAACUGCAUAGUGACCCACACCACCUGAGGCAGCAGUUAUUAGAAUGUUGGCCUGCUUGCCACUCCCAUCAAGCUUGAUCCCAACAGACUGAGUGAGGGCCUGAUGGGCUGUAAGGCCGGCAACUGGCAAGCCUGCCCCUUCAGCUGCUGAAACUUCAGCUGGCCUUGCAACUGUCAAGCUCUCCUUAGCCACUGCAAACUCGGCUAGUCCACCUCCAGUAGCAUGGCUAAGCAUAGCCACAAUUUUAUCACCAGUUUUGAAGUUCUUUACUCCUGGUCCAACCUCUAAAACUUCUCCCGCCACAUCAGUACCUGGAAUGUGAGGGAAUUUACGAGGCAUAAGAGGCCGCAAUAUGCCCUUUUGAAUUUUCCAAUCAACCGGAUUUAGACUAGUUGCUUCUAACUUUAUCAAAACCUCAUCUUUCUUUGGAGUAGGGACUGGAACUUCAACAUGCUUCAGACCAGCGGCUCCUCCACCAUAACUAUCAUAUUGAACGGCGUGCAUUAGCUCCCCCGCCAUGUUCAGAAGAAGCGAAGCCGUUUGGACAGAGAAAAGAGGCGUAUGCAGAAAGGAAAGGCGAGCGAGAAAUUCUAGAAAAAGUGAUGUUAAUAUUUUGAUAAUUUG